rnacentral:rRNA from 1 species
UACGGAGGGAGCUAGCGUUGUUCGGAAUUACUGGGCGUAAAGCGCACGUAGGCGGCUUUGUAAGUCAGAGGUGAAAGCCUGGAGCUCAACUCCAGAACUGCCUUUGAGACUGCAUCGCUUGAAUCCAGGAGAGGUGAGUGGAAUUCCGAGUGUAGAGGUGAAAUUCGUAGAUAUUCGGAAGAACACCAGUGGCGAAGGCGGCUCACUGGAGCUGGUAUUGACGCUGAGGUGCGAAAGCGUGGGGAGCAAACAGG